UACGAAGGGGGCUAGCGUUGUUCGGAAUUACUGGGCGUAAAGCGCACGUAGGCGGAAUGUUAAGUCAGGGGUGAAAUCCCGGGGCUCAACCCCGGAACUGCCUUUGAUACUGGCAUUCUCGAGUCCGGAAGAGGUGAGUGGAAUUCCGAGUGUAGAGGUGAAAUUCGUAGAUAUUCGGAGGACACCAGUGGCGAAGGCGGCUCACUGGUCCGGUACUGACGCUGAGGUGCGAAAGCGUGGGGAGCAAACAGG
rnacentral:rRNA from 1 species